AUGAAAAUUCUACAUGGCUAUGUGCUUGGCCCGAGCUCAGGCUGAGCGGCACGGAUUGUACUAUGGACUGUUUUAAUUAACCAG